rnacentral:rRNA from 1 species
UUACCAGACUCCUACGGGAGGCAGCAGUGAGGAAUAUUGGUCAAUGGGCGGAAGCCUGAACCAGCCAAGUCGCGUGAGGGAUGACGGCCCUACGGGUUGUAAACCUCUUUUGUCGGAGAGCAAAUUCCGCCACGUGUGGCGGAGUCGAGAGUACCCGAAGAAAAAGCAUCGGCUAACUCCGUGCCAGCAGCCGCGGUAAUACGGAGGAUGCGAGCGUUAUCCGGAUUUAUUGGGUUUAAAGGGUGCGUAGGCGGAAUGCCAAGUCAGCGGUAAAAUCGCGGGGCUCAACCUCGCUCCGCCGUUGAAACUGGCGUUCUUGAGUGGGCGAGAAGUAUGCGGAAUGCGUGGUGUAGCGGUGAAAUGCAUAGAUAUCACGCAGAACUCCGAUUGCGAAGGCAGCAUACCGGCGCCCAACUGACGCUGAAGCACGAAAGCGUGGGUAUCGAACAGGAUUAGAUACCCUUGUAUG